GCCUAACACAUGCAAGUCGAGCGAGAACCGGGACUUCGGUCCCGGGGACAGCGGCGAACGGGUGAGUAACACGUGGAUAACCUGCCCUCGGCACCGGGAUAGCCCGGGGAAACCCGGAUUAAUACCGGAUGGCCCUUCCGGCUUUCGAGCCGGUCGGAAAAGGUAGCUUCGGCCUCCGGCCGAGGAUGGGUCCGCGGCGGAUUAGCUUGUUGGUGGGGUAAUGGCCUACCAAGGCUCCGAUCCGUAGCUGGUCUGAGAGGACGAUCAGCCACACUGGGACUGAGACACGGCCCAGACUCCUACGGGAGGCAGCAGUGGGGAAUCUUGCGCAAUGGGCGAAAGCCUGACGCAGCGACGCCGCGUGAGGGAGGAAGGCCUUCGGGUUGUAAACCUCUUUCAGGAGGGACGAAGCUACUCGGGUGAAUAGCCCAGAGGGUGACGGUACCUCCAGAAGAAGCCCCGGCUAACUACGUGCCAGCCGCCGCGGUAAUUC
rnacentral:rRNA from 1 species